GAAAUCUCUUGCUGGUGCACAUCUAUGUUCUUCUUUCAUGUCAGUGUUUUGUUUGUUUUUAUAUCUGUUAGUACCUUCAUGUAAGUGAAAGCAGAAUUUUGCUUAGCUUUGUUGUCUUCAUUUUUGUGUGAUGCACAAACACUGAUGCUCUCAGGCACAGCAGUUCUGUUAUCUGCUACAGUGACAGCAUGACCCAGUGGCUGCUUUUUCAAACUUGAAACUAAUCAAGCAAUUUACUUUUUGCAGAUAGCAGUACUUGUAGGAAAUUGUUUGAAGAUAACAUAUUUUUUUCCUAUAGUAUUUCUUUUCAUGGAAAAGAGGAGAUAUUUUGAUUUCACUAGUGUUUUCUGAAUGAGCUGGUCAGAAGAGUUCUACUUAACUGGAAUUCUGCGACUAAACCAAAUGGUCGGCCAUGCAAAGGUUCACCAUCACAAUGGUCCUGAAGCCCGGACAGCCCAACUUUUGCUGUGUAGUCAUUGGACAUGGCGGAGGCACAUCAUGAAUAACCCAGAGGAAGAACAUGCAAGAGAGAAGGAUAAUGUCACUCCUUUGAGACCACAGCCUUAA
rnacentral:lncRNA from 1 species